GGGUCUAUUGGGGAGUGGUUAACCCGCAACUUUUGGGCCGAUAAGACGAAAAAUAGUUGAGAUCGGGAGUUCGAAUCUCCCUAGACCCC